GUCGCGUGCCCAAUCCGCUCCGCGCGCUCGCACCCAAUCCCAUCGUCUCCUCCUGUCAUCCCGUUCCUUGCUCCACACCAGCCGCCACACAACCCUAGCUCCUUUCCCUUCGAUCCCCACAGCCCCUCCCUCCUCCUCGUUCCUCGCCAUUGCCUCCAUUGUAGGAUCCUCUGCAUGGCCUGCUACUCCCCCUCCACCACCGUAGCUGCACACAGACGGCGGAUCCGUGCCGGAGAAGAGCAGCUCUAGUCACGGUGGGGUGUAGCUGCGAGGAAGACGAAGGAGGUCCGUCGCCCGGCUUUGCGUCCUCGCUGCAUCCUUGUUGCUGCUCCUCCUCUCUCCCUCCGUGCCUAUCAGCGCAGCAGCCGAGGACAAGGGGAAGGAGCAGCCCAGCCCUGCUCCAUCUCUCUUUUCUCCAUCCACGAGGAUUGGAGGAGAAGGUGAGGGAAGCCACCAUGGCCGGCGGCGGCGCUCCACAGGGACGCCCGCCUCCAGGGAUCAAAUCUGGUGCGAGAGGUGUGUUAUUAUCCGUAGGCGUGCAAUCUUGGCUACGAUCUAUGCUGGUGAUUUGGUUGACAACUGCAUUUGGUUUCUCUCUGUUCAACUGAAGAUGGCUUCAGAUAUGACUAAGGUGAGUUGAGUUGCGGCUUGGUUGGAGAUGUUGAUGCUGUUCAAGACGCCCGCUGGAUCCACCCUUUUCAAGGUUCUGAAUGAGGGCAAGCUCGACAAGGUCAAGGUGAGUGCUCGCCGCCACCUCAGCUCGUGGUUUGGUUUGGAUUACUCGAGUUUUUUCUUUCGACGACAAAAUAAUUUCUCUUUUCGAAACACUUAGUAGCUGAUCUAUCUAUCACAUUACAAGAGAGUAAGUCAGAAGAAGCCCUUUCUUUGAAUGAGCAAGAAUCCAUGGAGUGCUCAUGAUCUAUGUGUCCCUUUUCCAAAUGUUAGAAAUGUUAUCUUAGCUUAGUUAUCGCAUAGAAGUUGGCUUGGGAUACUAGGCUCAUUUGAUGUUUGCAUGACUUCCCAACCGCAAGGAACACUCCACAAAGAAACUCACUUAAGCAGGCUGAUAGAUGAUACAUUGUCUUGAGCCUAUUUGCUCAAAAUAAUGAGAGGCUGAAUGAUUCAGUUAGAUACAUGUUGAACCAUCUUUCUCACCUCAGCAUUUCUUUACACUUGAUUACUAAUUCGUCAAGGAGUUUUUGUACCUUGACACCUAUUUUCCCAAACUGUAUGUACCCACCGCUUGCAAAAGAAACCAAUUUAAACCCUUUUCGAAAAAUUUGUACUGUCGUAAGGUUGAAAAAAAUACAUGUUAUCCUGUAAGCACUUGAAUUGGAAGGCAAAAUGAAAGAUAAUUAAGUAGUGGAUAAUCUUACCUAGACAUUUGUUGCAUUUAUCUAUUCUUAAAAAAUGAUGAUAAAAUUAAAUGGUCAGUGUUGGAACUGAUUAUCGGUACUUGCUAUCUAAAAGCAGUACACACACAUUGCAGCUAUGAAAAACCGACAUUUUAUACACCUUAUGUAAAAAAGACAAAAGAAAUGUCUCAUGAAAAGCCUUUUUUAAUACUAAAUUCUAUCUUUUUGGCAUGUGACACAAAAGUUGCCAGUUUUCCAUGAAAUGAAGUUUGUAUGCACAUAGAAUGUUGAGAUGUACAUGAGAAUCAUUUUGUCUGAAUUUUAUGACAUUUCAAAAUAUAUUUAAAACACAUUUUAAAAUCCAGGAGCAUAUGCUCCCAUGUGUCAAAACACCACUCUACACCUAUUUCCUUCCUUUUUCUUUUUCUUUUUUUGAACAGAGUACAAUCGGAGUCAUUCAAAUACAUGAGCAUACACUCAUUCAUAUGAACACACACUCGCACACCCUACCCCUAUGAGUAUCUUUGAGAGACUGAGUUGGCACAUCAUUUUGAGAUUGACGAAGUCGCCACAAACGUCUUUGUUCGACGGGAAUGUCUCAUCCCACUGAAUAUAUAUCGCUGGAAGGCCUGGAGUAAAUUCAGAAAAAUGCAAGCACCAAUAUCAAGUCUGAGAUUUGAACUCUGGUGGACAGGGGAUACCGCCCUACCCUUAUGAGCAUCUUCGAGAGACUAAGCUAGCACAUCAUUUUGAGAUUGAUGAAGUCGCCACAAACGUCUUUGUUCGACGGGAAUGUCUCCUCCCACUAAACAUAUAUCGCUUGAAGGAUGUCUAAGUUUGAGAUUUGAACCCUGGUGGACAGGGGAUACCACUAUCUCAUAACCAUCCAACCAUAGGUUGGUUUGCAUGUCUUUAAUGCAUGAUAGAACAUCCAACAACACAACAAUAUAAGAAAAACCUUUGGCACCAUUGCCAUAUAUUAUAGGUUAAAAAUCCUAUGCCAUGCUAACCAUCAUGUGCAAAGUUAUUUAAAAGAAUCAUAUUAAUUCAAAUAACAAGGCCAUUGUACCAAGAUAACCCAAGUGCAUUCUUAAGUUAAGCAAAAUACUUGCAUUUAAUUCUUUCUUUUCCAUUUGGCACAACAGGAGUUUGUAUGUUUGGAAAGCAAUAUCUUAAUAAAUUAUGGGUUUGAUCUCCAAAUGUGCUUGAACAUAAUCAAGUCAAGGAAGAUGUCACGUCACCCACAAAAAAAACGAAGAUGUUGCGUCGCAUCUUCGUGGAAUGUAAAGUUGUCUGUCAUGUACGUACCUUGCUCAUUUGGACAAAUAUGUUCUCUUUUAAACUCAGAUUUCUCAAUGUAGUAGCCAUAUUUUCAACUAAAAAAAUGCUUCCUUAACUGGUCUACACAUAUUAUACACAUAUAUUUUUUCCAAACUCGGGUUCUUUAGCGAGAUAAACAUAUCAAAUAUGUCAUUGCAAAAUGAAACUAUUUUCAUCGACAACAUGGCUUUAGCGGGUCUCUGCGUCAUUUGGUGCAACAUGUCCACUAGUAUACAAAUUGAUCAGGUCGUCCUAAUUUUUCAGAAUUUUUGGAGUUACGGAAGUAUUCGAAAUAGUUAGAUUUCUACACACUAUUCUGUUUUGACAGAUUCUGUUUUCUUUGUGUUGUGUGUUUAUUUUGAUGGCUCUAUGGUUUUCUUUGAUGGGGUUUUGCCAUAGAAAAAUUGGAAUACAGUAGAUAUAAUGCAAGAACAAAAAUAUGAAUUGGUUUGAUACAUCACUUAUAGUAGUGAUUUAUUAUUCUUAUAC